CCCCCGCCCCCCUACGGGAGGCAGCAGCCUACGGGAGGCAGCAGUGGGGAAUCUUGGACAAUGGGCGCAAGCCUGAUCCAGCCAUGCCGCGUGAGUGAUGAAGGCCUUAGGGUCGUAAAGCUCUUUGACGGCCAAAAUGUAGUCAAGAUAAUCACAGUAACAGAAGUAAAGAAACCCCGACGAACACCGUGCCAGCAGCUCGCGGUAAGUACCAGAGGGGGUUAACGUUGUUCGGAAUUACUGGGCGUAAAGCGCAUACGUAGGCGGACUAGUCAGUCAGAGGUGAAAUCCCAGGGCUCAACACUGGAACUGCCUUUGAUACUGCUAGUCUAGAGUUCCAGAGAGGUGAGUGGAAUUCCAAGUGUAGAGGUGAAAUUCGUAGAUAUUUGAAGGAACACCAGUGGCGAAGGCGGCUCACUGGCUCGAUACUGACGCUGAGGUGCGAAAGUGUGGGGAGCAAACAGGAGUAGAUACCCUGGUGGUCCACACCGUAUACGAUGAAUGCCAGUCGUCGGGUAGC
rnacentral:rRNA from 1 species